rnacentral:rRNA from 1 species
GACGAACGCUGGCGGCGUGCUUAACACAUGCAAGUCGAACGGUGAAGCGCCUUCCUUUUUGGUGGGUGUGGAUGAGUGGCGAACGGGUGAGUAACACGUGAGUAACCUGCCCCCUUCUUCUGGAUAACCGCAUGAAAGUGUGGCUAAUACGGGAUAUUCUGGGUCUGUCGCAUGAUGGGUCUGGGAAAGAUAUUGUUUCGGUGGGGGAUGGGCUCGCGGCCUAUCAGCUUGUUGGUGGGGUGAUGGCCUACCAAGGCGGUGACGGGUAGCCGGCCUGAGAGGGUGGACGGUCACACUGGGACUGGGACACGGCCCAGACUCCUACGGGGGGCAGCAGUGGGGAAUAUUGCACAAUGGGCGCAAGCCUGAUGCAGCGACGCCGCGUGAGGGAUGGAGGCCUUCGGGUUGUGAACCUCUUUCGCCAGUGAAGCAGGCCUGCCUCGUUUGUGGGUGGGUUGACGGUAGCUGGAUAAGAAGCGCCGGCUAACUACGUG